UACGUAGGGUGCGAGCGUUGUCCGGAAUUAUUGGGCGUAAAGGGCUCGUAGGCGGUUUGUCGCGUCGGGAGUGAAAACCUUGGGCUUAACUCAGGGCUUGCUUUCGAUACGGGCAGACUAGAGGUAUGCAGGGGAGAACGGAAUUCCUGGUGUAGCGGUGAAAUGCGUAGAGAUCUCCAAGAACACCCGUUGCGAAGGCGGCUAGCUGGGUUCACAUUGACGCUGAGGCUCGAAAGCGUGGGGAGCAAACAGG
rnacentral:rRNA from 1 species